UUGCCCUCUGCUGGAAAACAGCAUCUUUGUCCUCUGAGAAAAACAGUCUCCCUUCUUACGGAGGCCAGUGGAUUCCAUCCUAGAGGCUGUGUUGACCGUAUCUCCAAAUAGACAAUAACGAGGCAUCUUGAUUCCCACAACUCCAGCAGCACAGGGACCUGAAAUGAAGGACAGAAAGCAGGAAGUGGAGGCAAUAGAAAUUGCAGAGUAGAGUGAAGACAGGUGGCAUUUCUGGGAUUGGUGCCAUGACAAUGGAAGACAGAAGACAAGACAAAGGCAUAACUUUCCGUAAGCAUUUCAUGGACCAGGCGAAUGCAGCUGGAUGGGGAAGCCUGUGGCACAAGGAGGUUCCAACAAGCAGAACAAAAGCCCAGGCUAGACUAUGCGCUGUGGCAUAUUAGGUCAGUCUGCAGGCUUCUUUGUGAAUAUUCAUCAUCAUCAACAGA
rnacentral:lncRNA from 1 species